rnacentral:rRNA from 1 species
GAUGAACGCUGGCGGCGUGCCUAACACAUGCAAGUCGAGCGAAAAGACGAGGAUCUCGCUCUACUGACGUUAGCGACGGACGGGUGAGUAACACGUGGAUAACCUUCCUCUACGACUUGGACAACUUCGGGAGACCGGAGUUACUACUGGAUAAUAUAUUGAACGGGAUGGUUCAAUAGUUAUUGAGGGUUUUGCUGAGCCCUAUAGCUGGCUCCGUGUUGGUUUGGCAAGUUGGUAGGGUAACGGCUUAGCAAUGCGACAAUGCGUAGCCGACCUGCGAGGGUGAACGGCCACACUGGAACUGAGACACGGUCCAGACUCCGACGGGAGGCAGCAGUAGGGAAGCGUCCGCGAUGGGCGAAAGCCUGACCGAGCAACGCCGCGUGAGUGAAGAAGGUCUUCGUGUCGGAAAACUCUGUUAUUGGGGAAGAACAAAUGUGUAAGUAACUAUGCACGUCUUGACGGUACCUAAACAAGAAGCCACGGCUAACUACGUG